AGAGUUUGAUCCUGGCUCAGGACGAACGCUGGCGGCGUGCUUAACACAUGCAAGUCGAGCGAUGAAGUUCCUUCGGGAACGGAUUAGCGGCGGACGGGUGAGUAACACGUGGGUAACCUGCCUCAUAGAGGGGAAUAGCCUUCCGAAAGGAAGAUUAAUACCGCAUAAGAUUGUAGUUUCGCAUGAAACAGCAAUUAAAGGAGUAAUCCGCUAUGAGAUGGACCCGCGUCGCAUUAGCUAGUUGGUGAGGUAACGGCUCACCAAGGCGACGAUGCGUAGCCGACCUGAGAGGGUGAUCGGCCACAUUGGGACUGAGACACGGCCCAGACUCCUACGGGAGGCAGCAGUGGGGAAUAUUGCACAAUGGGGGAAACCCUGAUGCAGCAACGCCGCGUGAGUGAUGACGGUCUUCGGAUUGUAAAACUCUGUCUUCAGGGACGAUAAUGACGGUACCUGAGGAGGAAGCCCCGGCUAACUACGUGCCAGCAGCCGCGGUAAUACGUAGGUGCGAGCGUUGUCCGGAAUUAUUGGGCGUAAAGAGCUUGUAGGCGGUUUGUCGCGUCUGCUGUGAAAAUCCGGGGCUCAACCCCGGACUUGCAGUGGGUACGGGCAGACUAGAGUGUGGUAGGGGAGACUGGAAUUCCUGGUGUAGCGGUGGAAUGCGCAGAUAUCAGGAGGAACACCGAUGGCGAAGGCAGGUCUCUGGGCCACUACUGACGCUGAGAAGCGAAAGCAUGGGGAGCGAACAGGAUUAGAUACCCUGGUAGUCCAUGCCGUAAACGUUGGGAACUAGGUG
rnacentral:rRNA from 1 species